rnacentral:lncRNA from 1 species
GUGCCCAGACAAUCAGUGGGUGAUGGCCUUACAGCAGAGGCCAUGGCUGCUUGGCACACCAAAGCAAGGAGUUUUCCGUAUUUGGGAGACAAUUUCCAUUGCAACCAAGCAGUGUGACUGCAGCACAUGGAGCUUGGUGAUGGGGAAGCUGUGAGGAUGUAGCAGCACUGCCUUUUGCAAGAAUGCCCCUGAGGUCUCCAACAGCUUUUUGAGAAGCACACAGGUCCCACAUCUUCCUUGUUUAAGGGGCAUCUGCUCACAUUAGGUCUCUGCCCUAGGUAGGGUUGAUUGACUACAACCAAAUUGUGUACUUAAUGCUUAUCUCAAGUUUCAUUUCCAGGUUGAAAAAAAGGCAACAUACAUAACAGACACAGCUCAGCAGAAGGGUAAGUGUCAUUCACUCAUCCAAGGCUUCCUGAUCUGUGUAACUCCCUUUGUCUUUUUUCUUCCAGUUUGAAAUACCAGUUUUGCUCUGCCCAUAAAAUAGUGCCUUGUGAGCACCGCUCCAACAAUGACUCCAUGGAGGACAUAUGUACACCUCUGCUCUAUAAAAGACUCUUCCUGAACAGAAAGGCUUUGCAGAUGCAGCCAGAAGCUGGAAGAAAGGAAAUCUCUUCAGGUGAUAGAGCUCAGCGUUUUGUGAGUCUCAGAACUAUGGGUGACCAUCCAUGCUCAGAAGGGUCAUCUGAACCAGCAGAACUCCGAUGGACUCCACCAGGCUCAGCCAAGGGUCUCCUUCCAAGCCCAAGGAGCAGCAGCUGCCACCUUGUAUGGAUGCCCUAAGACUGACUUUCCUUCUGCAGAGCCAAACCUUCUCCUGAGCACUUGGGAAAGCUGGGUCAUGAUUCCUCUCAUUGAGGCACAAUCUUAUUUUUGGAGGCUGAGGUGGAACCAGAGGCACUGGGGAGGAGUAAAGAAAAGGGAAAAUCCACAGCUCCUUCCUAGCAGCUGGAUGCCUUUGAUGUAUGCUCACCCUCCUGAAGGGUGUUCCUCUGGCUGGAAGCACAGGCACUGCCCCAACAGGCUGCCUGCAACUUAUCCCCCAGGAAGGGGCAAGUGUGUGGAGACCAGAGAAGAGACUGAAGGAUGCAGAGAGCACAGAGGCCACACAGGUGUGAUCAGGUAGGUUUUGCUGAUCACCAUGGCAUUGUAUCUGCAGGGCUUAGGGCUCCUCUCAUGUUGCUCCCCCUGCCAUUUCACAGCAAGGACAGCCAAGCCAGAAGUGUCUUGCUCCAAAGGCAGGUGAUACAUUCAAAAAGAACAAUGUUUAAAAAAGGGCCCCUGUAGAAACCACAAUCAACAUAGAGGUUUAAAUAACAUCAUGCAUAAUACAUUGCAAACUUCCACCUCCAAGAGAGGGAGAGAUGGCUGAAAAGGAAUGUAAACUGAGCCAAAAAGAAAGCAAGGCUUUUUUCAAAAGGCAAAGGCUAGCAAAUCUGUAAGGGCUUGCAAUCUGCUGUAGCAGAGGCUGUUUGAAGGCUGGGGUAAAAAAUAGCAAGCCAAAAAGGCUCCAGAGCCUGAGGAUUAUUAACUUUUUUUCUCGUCAGUUUUUUCUUGUUAUUUCUGCUUAGUCAAGUCUCUUUUUGGCACCUCACGAACUCACAUCUGUCGCUGGGAGCUCAGGCACAGACCACCCAACACAAAGGAACCAGCAAGUGCUGAGCCACAGCUCCAGGUGGUUCCAGCCCUGCUUCCUUCCCACCCUCCCUGCUUCCCUGCUCCAUAUCCAUCAGCCAGAAUGUCUUGUCAGGUGCCGUGUCACCUCAGAUCUCUUUCAGAUCACGGUGUGCCGCCUUCCUUUGUCAGGCAAGGUAAUGCAAUGACAGGAUGAUGUGCAACGGGUCCAUGUUUCUUUUAUUAGGAUCGUGUACCUGCUGUCACUUUGGAUAAGGACUAUCUAUUUCAAGUGGUUUCCUGCAAAGUCAACAGGGCUGAGUUUCUCUGAGAGGUCAUAAGAAUUAUCUGGAACUCCCAAGUGUGUCUAUUCAGACCUGCAUCCUCUAUCACAGCUUGGCCAGCUUUGUUACUUCAAGAUCCCAUCAGGUACAUAGCCCUAAAGCAGCCACCAGAAGCCCAAAGAACAUAAGCACAUAUUUAACUUUGAGCUAAAGGAUUCCUUUAGACGU